UUGAACGCUGGCGGCAGGCCUAACACAUGCAAGUCGAGCGGUAGCACAGAGAGCUUGCUCUCGGGUGACGAGCGGCGGACGGGUGAGUAAUGUCUGGGAAACUGCCUGAUGGAGGGGGAUAACUACUGGAAACGGUGGCUAAUACCGCAUAAUGUCGCAAGACCAAAGUGGGGGACCUUCGGGCCUCAUGCCAUCAGAUGUGCCCAGAUGGGAUUAGCUAGUAGGUGGGGUAACGGCUCACCUAGGCGACGAUCCCUAGCUGGUCUGAGAGGAUGACCAGCCACACUGGAACUGAGACACGGUCCAGACUCCUACGGGAGGCAGCAGUGGGGAAUAUUGCACAAUGGGCGCAAGCCUGAUGCAGCCAUGCCGCGUGUGUGAAGAAGGCCUUCGGGUUGUAAAGCACUUUCAGCGGGGAGGAAGGCGUUAAGGUUAAUAACCUUGGCGAUUGACGUUACCCGCAGAAGAAGCACCGGCUAACUCCGUGCCAGCAGCCGCGGUAAUACGGAGGGUGCAAGCGUUAAUCGGAAUUACUGGGCGUAAAGCGCACGCAGGCGGUCUGUCAAGUCGGAUGUGAAAUCCCCGGGCUCAACCUGGGAACUGCAUUCGAAACUGGCAGGCUAGAGUCUUGUAGAGGGGGGUAGAAUUCCAGGUGUAGCGGUGAAAUGCGUAGAGAUCUGGAGGAAUACCGGUGGCGAAGGCGGCCCCCUGGACAAAGACUGACGCUCAGGUGCGAAAGCGUGGGGAGCAAACAGGAUUAGAUACCCUGGUAGUCCACGCCGUAAACGAUGUCGAUUUGGAGGUUGUGCCCUUGAGGCGUGGCUUCCGGAGCUAACGCGUUAAAUCGACCGCCUGGGGAGUACGGCCGCAAGGUUAAAACUCAAAUGAAUUGACGGGGGCCCGCACAAGCGGUGGAGCAUGUGGUUUAAUUCGAUGCAACGCGAAGAACCUUACCAGGUCUUGACAUCGUAUGCAUAGUCUAGAGAUAGAUGAAAUCCCUUCGGGGACAUAUAGACAGGUGGUGCAUGGUUGUCGUCAGCUCGUGUCGUGAGAUGUUGGGUUAAGUCCCGCAACGAGCGCAACCCUUAUCCUUUGUUGCCAGCGGUCCGGCCGGGAACUCAAAGGAGACUGCCAGUGAUAAACUGGAGGAAGGUGGGGAUGACGUCAAGUCAUCAUGGCCCUUACGACCAGGGCUACACACGUGCUACAAUGGCAUAUACAAAGAGAAGCGACCUCGCGAGAGCAAGCGGACCUCAUAAAGUAUGUCGUAGUCCGGAUUGGAGUCUGCAACUCGACUCCAUGAAGUCGGAAUCGCUAGUAAUCGUAGAUCAGAAUGCUACGGUGAAUACGUUCCCGGGCCUUGUACACACCGCCCGUCACACCAUGGGAGUGGGUUGCAAAAGAAGUAGGUAGCUUAACCUUCGGGAGGGCGCUUACCACUUUGUGAUUCAUGACUGGGGUG
rnacentral:rRNA from 1 species